rnacentral:lncRNA from 1 species
GGCACAGCCGCGCCCAAAAAUAACCGCCCCAAGGCCGGGGCGCCAAGUUCGUCCAGCGGAAAAAGGCCAGAAAAACGGGUGGGCUAUAGCCUUGGGGGGUGGGGCUGGCCCACUUCGUCCGCCGGACUCAGAAUGGCGCGAGACUUUUGCGAGGCGCCUCCGUGUGCCAAAAAUAGGCCGCGGGCACAGCCGCGCCCAAAAAUAACCGCCCGAAGGCCGGGGUGCCAAGUUCGUCUACUGGAAAAAGGCCACAAAAACGGGUGGGCUAUAGCCUUGGGGGGUGGGGCUGGCCAACUUCGUCCGCCGGACUCGGAAUGGUGCUAGACUUUGCAAGGUGCUUCCGUGUGCCAAAAAUAGGCUGCGGGCACAGCCGCGCUCAAAAAUAACUGCCCGAAGGCCGGGGCGCCAAGUUCGUCCAGUGGAAAAAGGCCUCAAAAACGGGUGGGCUACAGCCUUGGGGGGUGCGGCUGGCCAACUUCGUCCGCCGGACUCGGAAUGCCGCGAGACUUUGCGAGGCGCCUCCGUGUGCCAAAAAUAGGCCGUAGGCACAGCCACGCCCAAAAAUAGCCGCCCGAAGGCCGGGGCGCCAAGUUCUUCCAGCGGAAAAAGGCCACAAAAACGUGUGGGCUAUAGCCUUGGGGGGUGGGGCUGGCCAACUUCGUCCGCCGGACUCGGAAUGGUGUGAGACUUUACGAGGUGCCUCCGUGUGGUAAAAAUAGGCUGCGGUCACAGCCGCGCCCAAAAAUAACCGCCCGAAGGCUGGGGCGCCAAGUUCGUCCAGCGGAAAAAGGCCACAAAAACGGGUGGGCUAUAGCCUUGGGGGGUGGGGCUCGCCAACUUCGUCUGCCGGAGUCGGAAUGGCGCGAGACUUUACGAGGCGCCUCCGUGUGCCAACAAUAGGCCGCAGGCACAGCCGAGCCCAGAAAUAACCGCCCGAAGGCCGGGGCGCCAAGUUCGUCCAGCGGAAAAAGGCCACAAAAACGGGUGGGCUAUAGCCUUGGGGGGUGGGGCUGGCCCACUUCGUCCGCCGGACUCAGAAUGGCGCGAGACUUUUGCGAGGUGCCUCCGUGUGACAAAAAUAGGCCGCGGGCACAGCCGCGCCCAAAAAUAACCGCCCGAAGGCCGGGGCGCCAAGUUCGUCCAGCGGAAAAAGGCCACAAAAACGGGUGGGCUAUAGCCUUGGGGGGUGGGGCUGGUCCACUUCGUCCGCCAGACUCGGAAUGGCGCGAGUCUAUGCAAGGUGCCUCUGUGUGCCAAAAAUCAUCCGCGGGCACAGCCGUGCCCAAAAAUAACCACCCGAAGGCCGGGGCCCCAAGUUCGUCCAGCGGAAAAAGGCCACAACAACGGGUGGGCUAUAGCCUUGGGGGGUGCGGCUGGCCAACUUCGUCCGCCGGACUCGGAAUGCCGCGAGACUUUGCGAGGCACCUCCGUGUGCCAAAAAUAGGCCGCGGGCACCGCCGCGCCCAAAAAUAACCGCCCGAAGGCCGGGGCGCCAAGUUCGUCCAGCGGAAAAAGGCCACAAAAACGUGUGGGCUAUAGCCUUGGGGGGUGGGGCUGGCCCACUUCGUCCGCCGGACUCAGAAUGGCGCGAGACUUUUGCGAGGCGCCUCCGUGUGACAAAAAUAGGCCGUGGGCACAGCCGCGCCGAAAAAUAACCGCCCGAAGGCCGGGGCGCCAAGUUCGUCUAGCGGAAAAAGGCCACAAAAACGUGUGGGCUAUAGCCUUGGGGGGUGGGGCUGGCCAACUUCAUCCGUCGGACUCGGAAUGGUGUGAGACUUUACGAGGUGCCUCCGUGUGGUAAACAUAGGCUGCGGUCACAGCCGCGCCCAAAAAUAACCGCCCGAAGGCUGGGGCGCCAAGUUCGUCCAGCGGAAAAAGGCCAGAAAAACGGGUGGGCUAUAGCCUUGGGGGGUGGGGUUCGCCAACUUCGUCUGCCGGACUCGGAAUGGCGCAAGACUUUACGAGGCGCCUCCGUGUGCCAACAAUAGGCCGCAGGCAUAGCCGAGCCCAGAAAUAACCGCCCGAAGGCCGGGGCGCCAAGUUCGUCCAGCGGAAAAAGGCCACAAAAACGGGUGGGCUAUAGCCUUGGGGGGUGGGGCUGGCCAACUUUUUCCACCGGACUCGGAAUGGCGCGAGACUUUGCGAGGCACCUCCGGUUUCCAAAAAUAGGCUGCGGGCACAGCCGCGCUCAAAAAUAAUUGCCCGAAGGCCGGGGCGCUAAGUUCGUCCAGUGGAAAAAGGCCUCAAAAACGGGUGGGCUACAGCCUUGGGGGGUGCGGCUGGCCAACUUCGUCCGCCGGACUCGGAAUGCCGCGAGACUUUGCGAGGUGCCUCCGUGUGGUAAAAAUAGGCCGCGGGUACAGCCGCGCCAAAAAAUAACCGCCCGAAGGCUGGGGUGCCAAGUUCGUCUAGUGGAAAAAGGCCACAAAAACGGGUGGGCUAUAGCCUUGGGGGGUGGGGCUGGCCAACUUCGUCCGCCGGACUCGGAAUGGUGCGAGACUUUGCAAGGUGCUUCCGUGUGCCAAAAAUAGACCGCGGACACAGCCGCGCCCAAAAAAAACCGCCCGAAGGCCGGGGCGCCAAGUUCGUCCGGCGGAAAAAGGCCACAAAAACGUGUGGGCUAUAGCCUUGGGGGGUGGGGCUGGCCAACUUCGUCCGCCGGACUCGGAAUGGCGCGAGACUUUGUGAGGCACCUCCGUGUGUCAAAAAUAGGCCGCGGGUACAGCCGCGCCCAAAAAUAACCGCCCGAAGGCCGGGGCGCCAAGUUCGUCCAGCGGAAAAAGGCCAGAAAAACAGGUGGGCUAUAGCCUUGGGGGGUGGGGCUGGCCCACUUCGUCCGCCGGACUCAGAAUGGCGCGAGACUUUUGCGAGGCGCCUCCGUGUGAAAAAAAUAGGCCGCGGGCACAGCCGCGCCCAAAAAUAACCGCCCGAAGGCCGGGGCGCCAAGUUCGUCCAGCGGAAAAAGGCCACAAAAACGGGUGGGCUAUAGCCUUGGGGGGUGGGGCUGGCCAACUUCGUCUGCCAGACUCGGAAUGGCGUGAGUCUAUGCAAGGUGCCUCCGUGUGCCAAAAAUCGUCCGUGGGCACAGCCGUGCCCAAAAAUAACCACCCGAAGGCCGGGGCCCCAAGUUCGUCCAGCGCAAAACGGCUACAACAACGGGUGGGCUAUAGCCUUGGGGGGUGGGGCUGGCCAACUUUGUCCACCGGACUCGGAAUGGCGCGAGACUUUGCGAGGCACCUCCGUGUGCCAAAAAUAGGCUGCGGGCACAGCCGCGCUAAAAAAUAACUGCCCGAAGGCCGGGGCGCCAAGUUCGUCCAGUGGAAAAAGGCCUCAAAAACGGGUGGGCUACAGCCUUGGGGGGUGCGGCUGGCCAACUUCGUCCGCCGGACUCGGAAUGCCGCGAAACUUUGCGAGGCGCCUCCGUGUGCCAAAAAUAGGCCGCGGGCACAGCCGCGCCAAAAAAUCACCGCCCGAAGGCUGGGGUGCCAAGUUCGUCUAGUGGAAAAAGGCCACAAAAACGGGUGGGCUAUAGCCUUGGGGGGUGGGGCUGGCCAACUUCGUCCGCCGGACUCGGAAUGGCGCGAAACUUUACGAGGCGCCUCCGUGUGCCAAAAAUAGGCCGCGGGCACAGCGGCGCCCAAAAAUAACCCCCCGAAGGCCGGGGCGCCGAGUUCGUCCAGCAGAAGAAGGCCACCAAAACGGGUGGGCUAUAGCCUUGGGGGGUGGGGCUGGCCAACUUCGUCCGCCGGACUCGGAAUGGCGCGAGACUUUGCGAGGCGCCUCCGUGUGUAAAAAAUAGGCCGCGGGCACAGCCGCGUCCAAAAAUAACCGCCCGAAGGCCGGGGCGCCAAGUUCGUCCAGCGGAAAAAGGCCAUAAAAACGAGUGGGCUAUAUGUCAUGGCCCAAGCCUCCACAUGGCCUGGCCCAUGGAGAAAUCUGGAGCUAUGGAGACUUGUGUAGAGCAUGUAGAUAUUUCCUAUGUAAUUAAUGUGCUUCGGUGGUAGUUGUGAUAACUCUAGAGACUCUCUAGAUACUUCCUUGUACUCUAUCAAUAGAAGAGGGCCUUAUUUGGCCAAAUGAAUAAGAAGCAAUAUACAAUUCCAGCACACAUGGCUUUGUAAGCAUUCUAUCGAGCAAUAUCUGUUAUUUUCUCCCAUCCUUAUUGAGUUAGAGUGAAUCCUCUUUCUGGUUCUCGAAUCCAGCAAUGGAUUUGGGUGUAAGGCUGACUUAGGGCCAAGAGAGUGCGAAUUUGGCGCCUAAGGCCGCACGGCAUAGCGUGGGAACAAACCGGGCCGUGACAGUUGGUAUCAGAGCCAUCUACACUCGUGGGUAGUUGCGUUGUUCGAAAGGAAGGAUGUCGGAGAGCACUCAUGAUGACCAAAGGGGGAGGGAGCCUAACCCCAAUGCGAAAAAGGGGAAAAACAGCAAGGAGAAGUCAGUGGACUUGCUCAACGCCAUGGAGAAUCGGGUUGUCCGUGGGGAGAUUGCUGUCGCCGAGAUUAAAGAACGCCUCGAGAUCUUUGAGCAAAAGAUGGAGGAGGUGGAUGAUCUUGGUGAGCGGAUGGGCGAUCUAAGCCAAGAUGUGGUGGCGCAACGCCAAAGCCUUGAGGAGUUCCAAGCGGUGGUUCUGAACUCUAUUGAGGCGCUAAGGGUUCAAGUGGAGGAGCUUCACACGGGCCUUGAAGAGACUAAGAUGGAUUGGGCGCUUUGCAAGAAGGCGGUGGCCAGCGGCGUGCUCAACACCAAUGCCGCACCUCCAAUGAGGGUCGAGGUUCCGAGGCCAAGGAGGUAUGGGGGCAAGCGGGAUGCCCAGGAGAUCGAGAACUUCUUGUGGUCCAUGGAGAGGUACUUCGAGGCCACCAACAUCCAAGGUGAGCAAGAGAAGGUGAACAUUGCGACCGAGUACCUUGAGGAUCACGCGACCGCUUGGUGGCAGCGGAAGCAUGCAGAGAUUGUGCGUGGGACGUGCAUCAUCAACACAUGGGACUUGCUGAAGUGCGAGCUCAAGAGGCAAUUCUAUCCAGGGAAUGUGACAUAUGAGGCUCGUAAGAAGAUGCGGGAGCUGAAGCACACGGGGCCUAUCUCAAAGUAUGCCGAUGAAUUCUCGAAGCUCAUGCUCCAAAUCGACAACAUGAACACAGAUGAUUUGCUGUUCAACUUCAUGGAGGGACUCCAGCCGUGGGCACAACGGGAGUUGCAGCGGCGCCAAGUGAAUGACAUCUCUACAGCCCUCACCGAGGCUGACACGCUUGUGGAAUUCCGGAAGGGUGAGUCUUCCAAGCCGAAGAAGGAUGAUAAGCCGCAACAUGGCAAAGGCACCAUGAUGGCAAGGAUAAGCCACAAAAGAAGGAUGGCCCGAAGGAUGGUUCAAAGGAUGGCAAGAAGGAGGCUAAGCGGAAACACAAUUGCUUCCUUUGCGAUGGGGACCAUUGGGUGCGGGACUGCCCAAAGAAGAAGGCUUUCAACGCCAUGUUUAGCGAGACCGGGGAGAAGCAACCGGAGGCACCACCAGCGGAUGCCGCCAACAUGGGUUGUCUCCAAAUUUUCAAUGCGCUAAUGCCAAGCCAAUUCCAGCCAAGGUGCAGGACAAGUCGCUCAUGCACGUUGAGGCUACGAUCAACGGAAAGCGAGCCCAAGCCUUGAUUGACACGGGAGCGUCCCACAACUUCAUCAAGGUGGAUGAAGCCAAGCGGCUUGGACUCAAGGUUGAGAAAUCGGAUGGCUGGCUCAAGACGGUGAAUUCGGAGGCCAAACCACUUAGCGGGGUAGCGCGAGAUGUGGAGCUACACCUAGGCCCUUGGCGAGGUAAGGCCAAUUUCUCGGUUGUACCUUUGGAUGAUUUUACACUUGUUUUAGGCAUGGAAUUUUUGCGACAGUUCAAUGCGGUGCCACUUCUGAGGUACAACUCAAUGUGUAUCCUAGAGGGAGCCCCAUGCUUGGUCCCGACCGCGAGUAAGGUCACACCACCAGGCCAACUUUCCGCCAUGCAAAUCAGCAAAGGUUGCAAGCGGCAUGAGGACACAUUUCUCGCCACCAUUCAUGAGGUCGGUGACGGGAAGGACACUAUGGCCAUGGAGCCCAUACCGGAGGCGGUAGGCCAAGUCCUUGAGGCGUAUGAGGACGUAAUGCCACCCGAGUUGCCAAAGCGGUUGCCGCCACGAAGGGAAGUAGACCACAAGAUUGAGCUGGAGCCGGGUGCCAAACCGCCUGCACGAGCACCUUACCGCAUGUCUCCACCGGAGCUAGAGGAGUUGCGGAGGCAAAUUAAGGAGCUGCUGGACGCAGGAUACAUCCAGCCCUCGAAAGCACCAUACGGAGCACCGGUGCUGUUCCAGCAGAAGCAUGAUGGCUCACUUCGACUAUGUAUCGACUACCGGGCUCUUAACAAGGUGACCGUGAAGAACAAAUACCCCAUCCCACGGACUUGUUCGAUCAACUUGGACGGGCCAAAUAUUUCUCCAAGCUGGACCUUAGAUCGGGAUAUUACCAAGUACGGAUUGCGGAGGGAGAUGAGCCGAAGACCGCUUGUGUGACGAGGUAUGGAGCGUACGAGUUCAAGGUAAUGCCUUUCGGCCUCACCAAUGCUCCAGCCACAUUUUGCACGCUCAUGAACCACAUAUUCCAGCCAUACCUUGAUCAGUUUGUGGUGGUGUAUCUCGAUGACAUCGUAGUCUAUAGCAACACCUUGGCGGAACAUGCUGAGCACUUGCGGGUCGUGUUCGGGGUGUUGCGGGAAAAUGAGCUGUAUGUGAAGAGGGAGAAGUGUUCGUUCGCAAAACUGGAGGUGGAUUUUCUUGGCCAUAAAAUCAGAGAUGGGACGCUGCUCAUGGACAAGGCCAAGGUCUGAGCCAUUGCCGAAUGGGAGCCGCCCACAAAGGUGACUGAGUUGCGCUCUUUCUUAGGCCUUGCCAACUAUUAUCGGAGGUUCAUUAGAGGUUAUUCCGCCAUUGCCGCACCACUCACUGAUUUGCUCAAAAAGACUACCAAGUGGGAAUGGACGGAAAGGAGCCAGCAAGCCUUCGAUGCCCUCAAGAAGGCUGUGAUGGAAGAGCCGGUACUUGUGCUGCCGAACCAUGACUUACCAUUUGAGGUACACACUGAUGCUUCCGAUUUUGUUAUUGGUGGGGUGUUGAUGCAGGCCGAACAUCCGAUAGCCUUUGAGAGCCGAAAGCUCAACGAUACGGAGCGGCGGUACACGGUACAAGAGAAAGAGAUGACGGCGGUAGUGCACUGCUUGCGCACAUGGAGGCACUACUUGCUUGGGUCCAAGUUCGUGGUGAAGACAGACAACGUGGCCACUAGUUACUUCCAAAGCCAAAAGAAGCUUAGUCCGAAGCAAGCGAGAUGGCAAGAUUUCUUGGCCGAAUUCGACUACGUGCUGGAGUAUAAGCCCGGAAAGGCUAAUUUGGUAGUGGACGCCUUGAGUCGGAAGGCCGAGCUUGCUGCCAUAAGUCGGAUACAAGGAGAGCUUCUUGCACUCAUCAACGAGGGAAUGGAGCAUGAUUCCUUGGCCAAGCAGCUGGUUUCUCUCGUGCAACAGGGGAAAUCGAAGAGGUUUUGGGUCGAAGAUGGCCUUUUAUACACCAAGGGACGGCGUGUUUAUGUUCCGAAGUGGGGAAACUUGCGGCGGAACUUGAUCAAGGAGUGUCAUGAUACGAAGUGGGCUGGACACCCGGGACACAACAGAGCAACAAUGUCCCGCGGGGUUGCUUGAGCCACUGCCCACUCCGGAUCGACCGUGGGAGAGUAUAUCGAUGGAUUUCAUCACUUGUCUUCCCAAAUCGGAGGGGUUUGCAACUAUUGUUGUAGUGGUGGACAGAUUCUCGAAAUAUGCCACUUCCAUUCCCGCCCCGAAGGAGUGCACAGUGGAGGACACAGCCAAGCUUUUCUUUAGGCACGUGGUGAAGUAUUGGGGACUUCCCAAAUCCAUCAUUAGCGACCGUGACAGCCGGUUUACGGGCAAGUUUUGGACUGAGUUGUUCAAGCUUAUGGGGUCGGCGCUGCACUUUUCUACGAGCUUUCAUCCACAAACCGAUGGGCAAACGGAGAGGGUGAAUGCCUUGUUGGAGCUGUACUUGCGGCAUUUUGUGAGUGCCAACCAGCAUGAUUGUGCAAAGUUGCUGGACGUGGCACAAUUUUCCUACAACUUGCAGCGGAGCGAGGCUACAUCGAGGAGCCCUUUUGAGGUGAUCAUGGGACAGCAGCCGCUUACGCCAAACACGCUCAUCACGAGCUAUACCGGGAGGUGUCCUGCAGCAUAUAAAGUGGCUAAGUCGUGGCAUGAGCAAACGGACAUAGCACGGGCGCACCUAGACAAAGCAACCAAGCGGAUGAAGAAAUGGGCGGACAGCAAGCGUAGACACUUGGAGUUCAACGUGGGGGACAUGGUGCUAGUCAAGAUCGUUCCGGCCCAGCACAAGUCUACACGUUCACUGCACAAGGGCCUCAUCCGGAAAUACGAGGGGCCAUUUCCCAUCAUCAAGAGGGUCGGCAGUGUGUCGUACAAGCUAGAGUUACCCUCUUGGCGAAAACUCCAUCCGGUCUUCCAUGUGAGUUCCUUGAAGCCAUACCAUGGGGAUACGGAAGAUCCGAAAAGGGAUGAAUCCAAGCGCCCUCCACUCGGCAACACAAGGGUAUAUGACAAGGAAGUGGAGACCAUUUUGGCGGACCGUGUGGUUCAGAAGAAGAGUUUUCCGCCGUGCCAAGAGUACUUAGUCAAAUGGAAGGGACUACCCGAGAGCGAAACAAGUUGGGAGGCCGCAAACGAUUUGUGGCAGUUCCAAGACAAGAUCAAAGCCUUCCACAGUGAGUCGACGAGGAUGUCUUCGGAAUAGGUGGGGGAGAAUGUCAUGGCCCAAGCCUCCACAUGGCCUGGCCCAUGGAGAAUUCUAGAGCUAUGGAGACUUGUGUAGAGCAUGUAGAUAUUUCCUAUGUAAUUAAUGUGCUUAGGUGGUAGUUGUGAUAACUCUAGAGACUCUCUAGAUACUUCCUUGUACUCUAUCAAUAGAAGAGGGCCUCAUUUGGCCAAAUGAAUAAGAAGCAAUAUACAAUUCCAGCACACAUGGCUUUGUAAGCAUUCAAUCGAGCAAUAUCUGUUAUUUUCUCCCAUCCUUAUUGAGUUAGAGUGAAUCCUCUUUCUGGUUCUCGAAUCCAGCAACGGAUUUGGGUGUAAGGCUGACUUAGGGCCACGAGAGUGUGAAUUUGGCACCUAAGGCCGCACGGCAUAGCGUGGGAACAAACCGGGCUGUAACAUAUAGCCUUGGGUGGUGGGGCUGGCCAACUUCGUCCGCCGGACUCGGAAUGGCGCGAAACUUUGCGAGGCGCCUCCGUGUGCCAAAAAUAGGCCGCGAGCACAGCCGUACCCAAAAAUAACUGCCCGAAGGCCGGGGCGCCACAUUCGUCCAGCGGAAAAAGGCCACAAAAACGGGUGGGCUAUAGCCUUGGGGGGUGGGGCUGGCCCACUUCGUCAGCCUGACUCGGAAUGCCGCGAGACUUUGUGAGCGGCCUCCGUGUGCCAAAAAUAGGACGCGGACAAAGCCGCGCCCAAAAAUAACAGCCCGAAGGCCGGGGUGCCAAGUUCGUCCAGCGGAAAAAGGCCACAAAAACGGGUGGGCUAUAGCCUUGGGGGGUGGGGCUGGCCCACUUCGUCAGCCUGACUCGGAAUGCCGCAAGACUUUGCGAGCGGCCUCCGUGUGCCAAAAAUAGGACGGGGACAAAGCCGCGCCCAAAAAUAACCGCCCGCAGGCCGGGGUGCCAAGUUCGUCCAGCGGAAAAAGGCCACAAAAACGGGUGGGCUAUAGCCUUGGGGGGUGGGGCUGGCCAACUUCGUCCGCCGGACUCGGAAUGCCGCGAGAUUUUGCGAGGGGCCUCCGUGUGCCAAAAAUAGGCCGUGGGCAAAGCCGUGCCCAAAAAUAACCGUCCGAAGGCCGGGGAGCCAAGUUCGUCCAGCGGAAAAAGGCCACAAAAACGGGUGGGCUAUAGCCUUGGGGGGUGGGGNNNNNNNNNNNNNNNNNNNNNNNNNNNNNNNNNNNNNNNNNNNNNNNNNNNNNNNNNNNNNNNNNNNNNNNNNNNNNNNNNNNNNNNNNNNNNNNNNNNNNNNNNNNNNNNNNNNNNNNNNNNNNNNNNNNNNNNNNNNNNNNNNNNNNNNNNNNNNNNNNNNNNNNNNNNNNNNNNNNNNNNNNNNNNNNNNNNNNNNNNNNNNNNNNNNNNNNNNNNNNNNNNNNNNNNNNNNNNNNNNNNNNNNNNNNNNNNNNNNNNNNNNNNNNNNNNNNNNNNNNNNNNNNNNNNNNNNNNNNNNNNNNNNNNNNNNNNNNNNNNNNNNNNNNNNNNNNNNNNNNNNNNNNNNNNNNNNNNNNNNNNNNNNNNNNNNNNNNNNNNNNNNNNNNNNNNNNNNNNNNNNNNNNNNNNNNNNNNNNNNNNNNNNNNNNNNNNNNNNNNNNNNNNNNNNNNNNNNNNNNNNNNNNNNNNNNNNNNNNNNNNNNNNNNNNNNNNNNNNAAAAGCCCACAAAAAGGUGUGGGUUAUACCUUGGGGGGGGGGGCUGGCCAACUUCGUCCGCCGGACUCGGAAUGCCACGAGACUUUGCGAGGGGCCUCCGUGUGCCAAAAAUAGGCCGCGGGCAAAGCCUCGCCCAAAAAUAACCGCCCCAAGGCCGGGGCGCCAAGUUCGUCCAGCGGAAAAAGGCCACAAAAACGGGUGGGCUAUAGCCUUGGGGGGUGGGGCUGGCUCACUUCGUCAGCCUGACUCGGAAUGCCGCGAGACUUUGCGAGCGGCCUCCGUGUACCAAAAAUAGGCCGCGGGCACAGCCGUACCCAAAAAUAACCGCCCGAAGGCCGGGGCGCCACGUUCGUCCAGCGGAAAAAGGCCACAAAAACGGGUGGGCUAUAGCCUUGGGGGGUGGGGCUGGCCCACUUCGUCAGCCUGACUCGGAAUACCGCGAGACUUUGCGAGCGGCCUCCGUGUGCCAAAAAUAGGACGGGGACAAAGCCACGCCCAAAAAUAACCGCCCGAAGGCCGGGGUGCCAAGUUCGUCCAGCGGAAAAAGGCCACAAAAACGGGUGGGCUAUAGCCUUGGGGGGUGGGGCUGGCCAACUUUGUCCGCCGN